rnacentral:lncRNA from 1 species
CCACCAUCUCAGGAUGCUACAUUCCCAGCACAUUCUACAGUUCUUCUUGAGAAGUGCAAACGCGAAGUCCAGUGGGAGAGCAGGAUUUGACUAAGGCCACUUGGAGAAUUUUCCUGCAGAAGUGAUUUACAAAGAGCGAGGUUUGCUUACAUAUAGGCACCUUUAACUAAAGUGAAAAACCCAAUGGAUCGCUAAAGACAAGAGCAACCAUGUAGGUCAAAGCAGGUGUGCUGCAGCAGCUGCAUAUAAAGGGCUUCAUUUUCCAGCAUCUUUGACAUCUCCUUUCUUCAACUGACCUCAUCUCUUGCUUGGACCACUGAAGCAGAAGCAGGCUUCUAGCAGCCUCUCUGUUGCCACCAUCUUUCCUUUCCAUCCAUUCUCCAAAAAGCAACCUAAGCGAUCAUCCCAAGGCCCACAAGGCCCUGUAUGAGCAACUUUUGCCUGCCUCUUCAACUACAAAGGUAU